rnacentral:rRNA from 1 species
UACGGGGGGGGCAAGCGUUGUUCGGAAUUACUGGGCGUAAAGGGCUCGUAGGCGGCCAACUAAGUCAUACGUAAAAUCCCUCGGCUUAACCGGGGAACUGCGUCUGAUACUGGAUGACUUGAGUUCGGGAGAGGGAUGCGGAAUUCCAGGUGUAGCGGUGAAAUGCGCAGAUAUCAGGAAGAACACCCGUGGCGAAGGCGGCUCUCUGGGACGGUACUGACGCUGAGACGCGAAAGCGUGGGGAGCGAACAGG